rnacentral:rRNA from 1 species
CGGGGGUACUCGAGCGGCGAACGGGUGAGUAACACGUGAGUAAUCUGCCCCCUACUUUGGGAUAACUACCGGAAACGGUGGCUAAUACCGGAUACGACACAGGUACGCAUGUGCUCUGUGUGGAAAGUUUUUUCGGUGGGGGAUGUGCUCGCGGCCUAUCAGCUUGUUGGUGGGGUAAUGGCCUACCAAGGCUUCGACGGGUAGCCGGCCUGAGAGGGUGACCGGCCACACUGGGACUGAGACACGGCCCAAACUCCUACGGGAGGCAGCAGUGGGGAAUAUUGGACAAUGGGCGGAAGCCUGAUCCAGCAACGCCGCGUGAGGGAUGACGGCCUUCGGGUUGUAAACCUCUUUCAGUACCGACGAAGCGCCGGUAAUGGUGGUGACGGUAGGUACAGAAGAAGCACCGGCCAACUACGUGCCAGCAGCCGCGGUAAUACGUAGGGUGCGAGCGUUGUCCGGAAUUAUUGGGCGUAAAGGGCUCGUAGGCGGUUUGUCGCGUCGGGAGUGAAAACACCGGGCUUAACUCGGUGCUUGCUUUCGAUACGGGCAGACUAGAGGCAUGCAGGGGAGAACGGAAUUCCUGGUGUAGCGGUGAAAUGCGCAGAUAUCAGGAGGAACACCGGUGGCGAAGGCGGUUCUCUGGGCAU